UGCGUAGGGUGCGAGCGUUGCCCGGAUUUAUUGGGCGUAAAGGGCGCGUAGGCGGUGAGACACGUUCGUUGUGAAAUCGCCCGGCUCAACUGGGCGGGGUCAGCGGAUACGGUCUCACUUGAGCAAGCUAGGGGGCAAUGGAAUUCCCGGUGUAGUGGUGGAAUGCGUAGAUAUCAGGAGGAACACCGGUGGCGAAGGCGGGUCUCUGGGCCGAUACUGACGCUGAGGAGCGAAAGCGUGGGGAGCGAACAGG
rnacentral:rRNA from 1 species